rnacentral:rRNA from 1 species
UAGGGAAUCUUCCGCAAUGGGCGAAAGCCUGACGGAGCAACGCCGCGUGAGUGAUGAAGGUCUUCGGAUCGUAAAACUCUGUUAUUAGGGAAGAACAUAUGUGUAAGUAACUGUGCACAUCUUGACGGUACCUAAUCAGAAAGCCACGGCUAACUACGUGCCAGCAGCCGCGGUAAUACGUAGGUGGCAAGCGUUAUCCGGAAUUAUUGGGCGUAAAGCGCGCGUAGGCGGUUUUUUAAGUCUGAUGUGAAAGCCCACGGCUCAACCGUGGAGGGUCAUUGGAAACUGGAAAACUUGAGUGCAGAAGAGGAAAGUGGAAUUCCAUGUGUAGCGGUGAAAUGCGCAGAGAUAUGGAGGAACACCAGUGGCGAAGGCGACUUUCUGGUCUGUAACUGACGCUGAUGUGCGAAAGCAUGGGGAUCAAACAGGAUUAGAUACCCUGGUAGUCCACGCCGUAAACGAUGAGUGCUAAGUGUUAGGGGGUUUCCGCCCCUUAGUGCUGCAGCUAACGCAUUAAGCACUCCGCCUGGGGAGUACGACCGCAAGGUUG